rnacentral:snRNA from 1 species
UUGCUUUGGUAGCAUAUAUACUAAAAUUGGAACAAUAUGGAGAAGGUUAGCAUGGCCCCUGCACAAGGAUGACAAUGUGUAAAACAGGAAAUAAAAGGAAAAAGGAAUAUUAU